rnacentral:rRNA from 1 species
UACGUAGGGGGCAAGCGUUGUCCGGAAUCAUUGGGCGUAAAGCGCGUGUAGGCGGUUCGGUAAGUCCGCUGUGAAAGUCGGGGGCUCAACCCUCGAAAGCCGGUGGAUACUGUCGGGCUAGAGUGCGGAAGAGGCGAGUGGAAUUCCUGGUGUAGCGGUGAAAUGCGCAGAUAUCAGGAGGAAUACCGAUGGCGAAGGCAGGUCUCUGGGCUAUAACUGACGCUCAUGCACGAAAGCGUGGGGAGCAAACAGG